CUCAUGGCGGGGUGGAGAAACCGAAGGUGGCUUGACGUUGUAGAUAGUGUAUGUGAUAUGUAUUGUGUUAUCAAAAGGGUGCGUUGGUUGUCAAAGGUUGGAGUUGGGACUAUGUAGAUGGUGAAUGAUGAGAUUGUUUAUUUGAGAUUGCCAAUUUUCAGAUUUAGGAGCCCUCCUCUUUUCAUUUGCUUUAUGCCUUGUAUUUAUAGUUGAGUAUGUGAAGCCUUGAAAGUCAGUGAUAUGCCAUGACUUUUGCUUUCCUGGUUAUUCUUUCCAACUGUCCCUAAUUGCUACUAUUGAUGCUAAUCUUAAAUUUUGAAGUGUAACUGCCCUUUUUUUGGAAUCCCUUGUAUUUCUCAGCUGGUGUAUAUUCCAGAUUGUGUUUAAUAAGGCAUAACUGUCUGAUUUGCAUUUUUUAGAGGCUUUUGGUUUGUUUAGCCCCCUCCCUUUUAAUUAUUCAACCACUCAUUAAAAAUUGCUCCUCAUUGUUGAUUAUUGCCUCUUCAAAUUAUUUAUGCUUGUCAAUGCUCUUUAAGCAUAAGAAACUGAAAGGCUUUUGGUUAACUUCUCUGGCUGACUAAUUUUAUACUCUUGGCUGCUUGUAGUUCUCAUACGAAUCCUCAAGAAGAGUCUUGCCAUAUCACCAUAUGCAAUGAAACUUAGUUCAUCUAAUGCUCCUCCAACAACAUUCUGGAACCAUAUAUUCCGCCACCAUUGAUGUCAUUGAUAAUGUGCAAGUGUAGUAUUGGAAAGAGGCAAGUGUGGUGGCUUGAAGCUCUUGAAGCAUAUAAGUUGUUCUACCUUUUGAAUAAAACAAUCAUGAAAGUAGAGCCGAAUAAGACUUUCUUUAU